CCUACGGGAGGCAGCAGUGAGGAAUAUUGGUCAAUGGACGAGAGUCUGAACCAGCCAAGUAGCGUGAAGGAUGACUGCCCUAUGGGUUGUAAACUUCUUUUAUAUGGGAAUAAAAUGUUCCACGUGUGGGAUUUUGUAUGUACCAUAUGAAUAAGGAUCGGCUAACUCCGUGCCAGCAGCCGCGGUAAUACGGAGGAUCCGAGCGUUAUCCGGAUUUAUUGGGUUUAAAGGGAGCGUAGGUGGAUUGUUAAGUCAGGUGUGAAAGUUUGGGGCUCAACCGUAAAAUUGCAGUUGAAACUGGCAGUCUUGAGUACAGGAGAGGGGGGCGGAAUUCGUGGUGUAGCGGUGAAAUGCUUAGAUAUCAGGAGGAACACCGGCGGCGAAGGCGGCCCGCUGGACUGAAACUGACGUUGAGGCUCGAAAGCGUGGGGAGCAAACAGGAUUAGAUACCCGAGUAGUC
rnacentral:rRNA from 1 species